rnacentral:rRNA from 1 species
GACGAACGCUGGCGGCGCGCCUAACACAUGCAAGUCGAACGAGCGAGAGAGAGCUUGCUUUCUUGAGCGAGUGGCGAACGGGUGAGUAACGCGUGAGGAACCUGCCUCAAAGAGGGGGACAACAGUUGGAAACGACUGCUAAUACCGCAUAAGCCCACGGUGCCGCAUGGCACAGAGGGAAAAGGAGCAAUCCGCUUUGAGAUGGCCUCGCGUCCGAUUAGCUAGUUGGUGAGGUAACGGCCCACCAAGGCGACGAUCGGUAGCCGGACUGAGAGGUUGAACGGCCACAUUGGGACUGAGACACGGCCCAGACUCCUACGGGAGGCAGCAGUGGGGAAUAUUGCACAAUGGGGGAAACCCUGAUGCAGCGACGCCGCGUGGAGGAAGAAGGUCUUCGGAUUGUAAACUCAUGUUGUUGGGGAAGAUAAUGACGGUACCCAACAAGGAAGUGACGGCUAACUACGUG